CUGGACACUGUUGAGCAGGGAUGUGAGGGUUGCAGCAGCGACAGCAUCUUGGGACAAGCCCAAGGCCAAAAGCCAAAGAGCUGAGGAUGGCGGAGUACCAAGAUAGAGCCUGGGUCUUCAAUGACAUAAUAAAAUUCAAGUUAACCCAUUCAGCAUCUAUCCUACUUUGUUUUUUUUUGGUUGGAUGUAACACUGAAGAUGACCUAAGAAUUUGUUUAUGAUGGGCAUCAUUGAAUGUUAGGGCUGUUGCCCACACUCCUUCUACUUUGCACUCCUGUUCAAUUUGGGCUUUUGAGUGGAUCUAUAUACCUGUACAGACAACUGAUUCUGGUCUUUAGACUUCUCACAUCACUUAUGAUAAAUCCAUCUAAUGGAAUUAAGGCUUUUAUUAAAC
rnacentral:lncRNA from 1 species